UACAGAGGGUGCAAGCGUUAAUCGGAAUUACUGGGCGUAAAGCGUGCGCAGGCGGCUUCUCAAGUCAGGGGUGAAAGCCCAGAGCUUAACUCUGGAAUUGCCUUUGAGACUGAGAGGCUUGAGUACGGGAGAGGUGAGUGGAAUUCCCAGUGUAGAGGUGAAAUUCGUAGAUAUUCGGAAGAACACCAGUGGCGAAGGCGACUUACUGGACACAUAUUGACGCUGAGGUGCGGAAGCGUGGGGAGCAAACAGG
rnacentral:rRNA from 1 species